rnacentral:tRNA from 1 species
GGUUGUGGCUCAGUGGCAGAGCACUUGCCUUGUACAUGUGAGGCACUGGGUUCAAUCCUCAGCACCA